AUUUUAUACUUAUAUUUUCAUUAAAAAUAAUUAAACUUGUGAAUUCUAUGUGAAUUAAAAUUUUAUAUUCACAUAAAAUAUUAUUAUAAGAAUUAAUUAUAUAUAAUUAUUAUAUUUAUAAUGGCAUUUUCCCGUAUACCUCGUCGUGAAGGUUAUAUAGUUGCAAUACUUGGUGCUAUCACUGGUUAUUAUAUUUGGAACCAACCAUUAAAACAAUUUGCUGAAAAGAAUUUCUCCAAUACAGACUUAAAUAAAGAUAUGUAUCAUGAUCAAAAAUAAAUUUUUUAUACAUCCUAUGAUCAAAAUAAGUUUUAUGAUAGCUGGUGUUCUAGGUUGUACUGCUAUUUAUAAAUUUUAUUUCAAACAAUAUGUUAAUUUUUUUGCAAAAAAACAAGUUGAAGAAGAAGCAAAUACAUUAUAUGAAAAACUUAGAGAAAAAGAAGCAAAACUAUCAAAAAUAGAAUAUAAUUAAAUGUAUUAUAAGAAGUUUGUAGAUAAUAUUUAAUGUAUGUAUUUAAUAAAUAAUACAUUCAAUAAUUAUAUAUUAUA